rnacentral:rRNA from 1 species
GACGAACCGUGCGAACGUUGUUCGGAAUCACUGGGCUUAAAGGGCGCGUAGGCGGGUCCGCAAGUCCGGGGUGAAAGCCCCCAGCUCAACUGGGGAAGUGCCUUGGAAACUGUGGGUCUCGAGGGAGGUAGGGGCAUGUGGAACUUCGGGUGGAGCGGUGAAAUGCGUUGAUAUCCGAAGGAACGCCGGUGGCGAAAGCGACGUGCUGGAUCUCUUCUGACGCUGAGGCGCGAAGCCAGGGUAGCGAACGGG